AUAAAGUGCGGGCCAAAAAAAAAGAAAAAAAAGCUCUUCAGGCAGAUGCUACCUCAUAUGUUUGUGGCAGGACCUUCUUCAGCACCCCUAGCCGAUGAUGAUGAUGAUGAUGAUGAUGAUGAUGAUGAUGAUGAUGAUGAUGAUGAUGAUGGCACAGUGAGGAGGCAGAGGCAGUAGAACUGGCGGUAAGCCGGAGCUAACAACGGGCAGACUGCCUGAGUCAACAUGAUGAUGAUGAUCAUGGUUAGCAUUAGGCUAUGCUACACUGGAGCCCAUUAAGAUCCACUUGGUGACACUGAGCAAAAACCUGCUGGCGGAGAACAACCUAGCCGCAAAGUUAUGGUGACAACAGUACAAUAAAACAAACUCUGCACACUCUGCUCCGCCUCAGGUGUAGUUUGCUAGCUAGCUAGCUAGCUAGUUAGUUAUAAAGUUAUCGUUACGAGGUCCCAGUGGCUAACACAGUUUGUAGACGUUUGCUAGCGGCUAGCUAGCGAGCUAGCUGUCUGUGUGUGUAUGAUUUCCCUGGUGAGCUAAAAAUAUCUUUCAGUGCGGCUCAGAUACGUUGUCUGAUUGGAAGCACGUCGUUAUUUGGUCGGCCUCCAUUCAUCAGCAUUAACAGACGCCUUCACAUGUUUGUUAAAGGGUACAUCGAAGGGAGUCCACCCGAUUCCUUUUUGACUCGGAUUCCAUCGCUUGUCUCAGGAUUCAUCAGUGAAUUAAUCAGAGUGGAGUAUACAGUUUCACAACGCCACUUUUUGAAGAUGACGGGAAACGAGGGGAAAGAGAUGGGGAAGGACUUGCAACAGUGGUCCCUAGCUGGAGUUGAACCAGGAACGCUGUGACUCAUGCUUCUCCGUCUUGGUGAGAAUUGAUACAUAAUGGCAGCAGUUGGACCGUGAAGUCGAAGCCUGCAAAUAACAACACGUAUAGCGCCUGGGUUGCCAUGGCGACGGACUCGCAGCCCACAAGGCGCGAUGGGAGCCGCUGUAACGCUGCGGGUGUAAUGUCAGUCGUCUUCCUCGGCAUCUUCCCACCGCCGAACAUGCACACGAGCCCUUCCCUCUACGUGGUGGGGGGAUUUUAAAUGUCAGUUUAUUUCUACACGGCUGUAUUUUGGAAGAAAGAAAACACAACUCGUUUUUCAUCACCAUUCACGCUACAGCGCCUAUGACCCCAUUCACGCUCUCAUGUUCCGCUCAGAGAGUGUAUCUCAGACCUCAUGAUCAGGACAGUAGUGGUAAAUAAAAAGCUGUCCUCGCCUCAGCCCAGAAAGACGGAACUUUUCAGUCUCCAUUCUCACACACACACACACACACACACACACACACACACUCUAUAGUCUUUAUUAACGAUCAGUGUUUGACUUGUAGAUGAAAAAUAACUAUUUUGUGUUUCAUAAUAACUGAGACUAUCUUCAAAUGUCACUGCUAUGUCCACAAAAGUUACUGCUGUAAACACCAAUUUAACAACCUAACACACAAUAACAUAAAUAAUACACUGCUGUGUAGUGUUAGUCUCCUGUAUUAAAAGCUCUGUCAGUCAUUUCAUAGCAGGGAUCAAAUCUGGUGUUUUUAAUUUUGUUACUGGAGCUGCCCUUUUGUUUACAU